rnacentral:rRNA from 1 species
GAUGAACGCUGGCGGCGUGCCUAAUACAUGCAAGUCGAGCGAACGGAUGAGAAGCUUGCUUCUCUGAUGUUAGCGGCGGACGGGUGAGUAACACGUGGAUAACCUACCUAUAAGACUGGGAUAACUUCGGGAAACCGGAGCUAAUACCGGAUAAUAUUUUGAACCGCAUGGUUCAAAAGUGAAAGACGGUCUUGCUGUCACUUAUAGAUGGAUCCGCGCUGCAUUAGCUAGUUGGUAAGGUAACGGCUUACCAAGGCAACGAUGCAUAGCCGACCUGAGAGGGUGAUCGGCCACACUGGAACUGAGACACGGUCCAGACUCCUACGGGAGGCAGCAGUAGGGAAUCUUCCGCAAUGGGCGAAAGCCUGACGGAGCAACGCCGAGUGAGUGAUGAAGGUCUUCGGAUCGUAAAACUCUGUUAUUAGGGAAGAACAUAUGUGUAAGUAACUGUGCACAUCUUGACGGUACCUAAUCAGAAAGCCACGGCUAACUACGUG